AUGAUUGUCAACAAUGCACCUUGGUCAACUUUUUAAUCUUUGACAUCUUUUUAACUUGGUCAACUUUUGAAUCAUUGUCAUCUCUUUAAUAUUGUCAUAUUGUCAUCAUCUUUUUAAUCGCCAUCUUUUGUCAUCGUUUUAAUCUUUGUCAACGUUUUCUCGUUUUCAUCGUUUUGCCGUAGUCAACUUUUGGACGUAGUCAACUUUUUGACGUCAGCAGCUUAAUCAGCGUUUGGCAUCGUUGCGGCAGCAGAUCAGCUCUCCCACGUAAUUUCUCGAGAAAUUACUUUUUCUAGUUAAUUAUAAAAGUUUUACAGUAUGACAUGGUAUUUUUAAAUACUAAUAAAUGCUUAAUUUUGCAGUAAAAGUAAACAGAUCUUUAUUAGGCGACAGUUUUUCUAUAUAUGCAAUAUUUUGUUUUUUAGUUUUCCGUAUUUUGAACAGACCGACGUCUCGCUAUGAAAAGAGGAAGUCGCGACGAGCGUGUUUUGUGCUCUGCUGUAAAGCGCGUAAUACGGGCGCAAGACGUUUUUGAAGCGCGGCUGGCUGAACGACGGAUGAACGAAUGACUGCUCAUUUGACCGCAGUCUGGUAGUUUACCGUGUUUUUAUUUAGCGCCAGCGGCUGGGGAGAGCGGAGCCUCGCUGGUAGGCGACGACUGCGGGGGCAGCGACCGGGACGCACAGCUGCACUUCAAUCCAGAUUACUGCUUUGGGUCUGGAUACGAGUGACCCACGGGUUUGUGCCCUUCCCCGACGCUGCUGUUUCUGGCUUCUUCUUUUUAUUGUGUCUCGGUUUCGCCAAGGUUUCGGUGUUUCCUUUUGUAUCAACCACUUGCAGCUAUUGUUCAUAUUGUUAAAGUUUUGUUUCUUGAGAAAUAAAGUCAACGUUAAAGCAUUCAGUAUUGUAUGCAAAUUAGAUUGCAAUGCAUUAUGGUUAGUGAAUUGUGAACAAUUGUGGCACCCUAACAACUAAGAAUGAGUGACCCUUCCUUAAAGUGGAGGUUGUAAUAUGUUUGCAAGUUCACCUUUGUAGGUGGUAACUUAUGUGAGGAUUUAGUGGUGUUUAGUCUUGUGUUUUUUACUUAUAAUAAAAAACAAAAUAAAAAUGAAAUAUUACUAUAUUAAAUAUGUAUAAUCACUUUCAAGCUUUUUUUCAUCAAGAUGUUCAGCGUUGUUUUUUAGAUAAUUAUAUUUAGCUGGUGAGGGUAGGAAUGUAGAUUGACCGGCAAAUUGAGAGCUUUGCUGUUGGAGAAAAUAUAUUUUCCUCUAUUCUCAUUUAUCUUGUUUAUUCAUUAUCUUUUACAUAUAAUACCUUUUUACAUUUAACAUUUAUGGUUUGCAUUUGCUGUGCCUUAUAACCACAUUGACAGUUGCACAGACGUCUAAGCCACCACAAUUUUUUGGUCGAGAGCCAUGGCUUCAGAUUUGGAGGAGCUGAUUCUCAUCCCAGCCGCUUCACACUCAGCUGCAAACCACCCCAGCGCACGCUGAAGGUCCUGGCCCAAUGAAGCCAACAGGACAACAUCCUCUGCGAAAAGCAGAAACGCAAUCCUGUGGUCCCUGAACCAGACCCCCUCCGGCCCCUGGCUGCUCCUAGAAAUUCUGUCCAUAAAAACAACGAACAGAACCGGUGACAAAGAGCAGCCCUGCCGAAGUCCAACAUGCAGGAACAGAAAUUGGCGUUGUCGGCAGGAUCCCGCGGCAGGUCGUCUGGACGGUGUGACCAGGGACGAUAGUCCUGAGGACUAGGGUCGCUCAGCCUCCAAACCUCUACAGACAUUCAGAGCUGGGAGGACUGCUCACCCGUCUGGAUCGCCUCUGACGAGAUCCACGAACUCAGAUUCAAACUCAAAUCCUAAUUUGGCUCGGCUCGGUGAGAGAGAUUCCUUUUAAUUUGGGAAAAAACAAAAAGAAAAUAUAACUAGGAAAAGAGAUAAUAAUAUUUCUAAAACGACUAUGUGGCUGAAAACAUCUAAAAUAUAAUAAUUAGGACCAAACAAUUUUUUUAAAUUAAAAAAUUUAAUAUUCGGGUAAAAAUUAAUUAGGUCAAAGUCUGCCCUGGUGGUCGAGACGGUGGUUGCUAAGGGUUGGCUCGUGGGACCGAGCUUGUUUUGUCUGUACUGAGGAUACAGACCAGUGUGCAGAUCUGAGCGCAGUCCAAAGGGUGUGGACAAGGAAAUAAAAGACGGCUUCUGAAAUACGGAGCGCGUUUGCAGGGGGAAGUGUUUUUGAGAUACGAGGGACCCGGGUCUUAGAGGGGCCUGACGGUGAGGGACCACUUCCGAGAACCCUGUCGCUGAUCUGAGCGGUUCCCUUUCUACGGAGACGUCCGUGGAAGAGAAAUUUCGAAAAAAGGUUCCGGCCGGAACACAUAAAAAUCUAAGGCAGGAAACCGCCGGGACUCUGAAAGAUGGGUUCGGGGCGAUCUAAGUCUCCACCACCAGACUGCAGCAUUACAAAAGUAAAAGUAAUUAAAAGUAAAAAGUUAAUAUGGUUAUUAGUGCGUUUCAUGUUUCCAUGAGUGGGAAACUGGUUAUGGGUUCAAAAGGAGAAUCACUUAGUGUAAGGACAUAUGCACCUUAAAAGAAAAAUUAGAGACAAAAGAAAAUACUUGAAAAAGCAAAACUAUCAAAACUAAAGCCCUAAAAGAAACAAAAGAUGAAAGUAACGGAAAGAAAGGAGAUAACAACUCUGGGGAAGAAUUGUUUGCACUCUGCCACAGACACACAUACACCACACACACACGUCAUGUCAAGAGCAAAUGCUCCCAUUGUUUCUGCUCUCUAUUCUAAUGCAGAACCGAGCGCGAUGAGGGUAAAUCCGGAUCUGGACUCCUUUCCCACCAUCAGCAGAAGAACCGAAGGAGAAGAAGCGCCGACCAACAACCAGAACAGGGUGGAAGCGCUGACACCACAGCAGCUGGAGGACACAGACCACAGCAUGGACGCCUCAGCGACUCUCACAACGUCUGCAGCCAUCACGUUCUGGGCUCAUCAGAUGAACCAGCUACUACAAGCAUGUGUGUCUGACACAGACACCUGCUUAUGACAAUCAGCAAAGGAAAACAAGGACAGAGCAACAGCAGAGAAGACGUGCUCUGACACAGACACUGGUUGAAACAACAGGAGAGGCUUCAGACGUGAUCGGCCCAAUAGAGCUGCAUGCGAGGAUCCAGGAAAGGUCUGUCAUCGAGGAACAACUGUCCCAUUGAAAGGCUUCACCCACUGGCGCUCACAUCAGACUGAUGGUUGGGGAAGGAGGAAGGUGACGGUUCCUUUUCACGUGAUGUACAAGACGGUACCGCAAAAACACACACACAUUCAUACACGCAAUGAAGAAACACGCUUACAGCUGAUACACGCUCAAAUUCAUGUUCAUGCUUAUCUGCUCGCAAUGAAGAAUCGCUUUUUGCUUAAAAAAAAUCCCACAGAGUGAUUUUAAAAUGAUGACAAACAGCUAAAUGACAAUUGCUGUAUGACUUUACAGUCUGAUGGGUUCAAACUAUUUUAACUUGCAACAAAUUCAGUAAUAAAAUCCUCUAUGUUUCUAAAAGGGUUUGUGCACAAUAUAGGUUUGUCUGGCCAGACUAGAAGACUAUAGGAAACAAAACAGACUAUAGAGAAAACAAAACAGACUGUAGAAAAAGAAACAAAAAAACAGACUAUAGGAAGACUGAGACUGACUGAAACAGACUAUUAAUGACUAUUAAAGGGAAGACGACUAUUAGAGAGAAGUAAUAAUAAUUACUGUACGUACCAGACUAUUAAAGAAAAACUUAUUCUUUCACUGUCUUGUGCAACAUCUGACAGCAAGACACCUUAACAUUCAUUUUUGCUUUCAAACUUGUGCCCAGUUAAAUUUUUAGGAAGAGAUCUCAUGUAGUUUAGAUAUUUGAUUGAUUUCCACUCCAGACGGAGUGAAGGGUAACAUCUACAGACAUUCUAAAUAAUCCCUCUUUUGUUGGUGUUAACUUCAGCUCAGCUGUGCUCUUAUCAUUGGCUGCUGAGGGGGGGCUGUAACUGAGGCCCUCACACAGGCUGCAUCGCAGCUUGUUUAUGAUUUCACACACACACACACAAACUGACCUCAACUUCCCUCUUUUGGGAUGAACACAGGUCUGCGCUUGCGAUUUCUUUUCCUAACGAACAAAAAGAUUUUUGAUUUUUAUUCUACAGUUCCACACGUCCCUCUGUGAAAACAUGAUGGAGACAGAUGCAGGACGUGGGUCCUUUCGUGAUCAGAUGUCAACGGGGUGGAGACUGGUGAACGACUUCUGACCCCAUGGGACGUAUUCACCCACAUUACAUGCUUUUGUUUUUAUUUUUAUUUUUCAGAGGACGCUCUGAGCCAACACUCAGCCUUACAGGAAGCCCUGUUUCCCUGUGGCUCACACACAGACAUGAUGUAGGUUUGAUCAGAGGAUGUGAACCAGUGGUCAUCACACCUAAAUCUGACCACAGACCAUGUGAACAACAACACCCUCUUAAAGGAAGCCAUAGAUGGUGUUACUGCAGACACCACUAAGCUACUGAAACAUUGGAUGCUACAGGCCACAAAGAGAGCCUGUUUAAAUUACACUUUGUUUAGACAAAGGUUAUUUUCUGGGUCAUUGUAAUUACAGCUGAUGGCAAAUCCAUCUCACCCAACAGAUUUGAAGCAAUUUGAAACCUGCCUAAACCGUGCACGUAUAAACAGCUUAUCUUUUCUAGGUUUUUGUUCUUAUUGCAGGAACUUCAUUCUUAACUUUAAUGUCUUUGAGGCCCCACUCAGGGUUCUGAUGCAGACAUCUUCAUCGUCCACUUCUUGUCUCACGUGGACGUCUGAGGCUGACGUUUAUUGACCUCAUGCUUGCUCUUCAGUCGGCUCCUACUUUGGGUCUUCCUGAUCUGACCCUACGCAACCUUUCACUCAAACAGUGAAUGAGAAAUCAGGUUGUACGACUUCUGUUCUUUUGUCCUCAUACUGUGUCUUUGAUUCUUUUGGAAAACAUCACAUCUUUCUACAGCCCGAUGGCUUAGAUGCAACACCACCUUACUAAACAUGCUGAACGUUACUAUCAAGAGGCCGUCUUGAAGUCUGGCUCUUUGCUAAGACACUACUCUGCUCAGGCUGCAGAGUUGAUCACAUUGACUGAAGCUAGUAAACGAGCAGAAGGAGAGUCUGUUACCAUCUACACGGACUCCACAGACGCUCUGUGGAAGCAUAGGAAGCUUUUUUGAAGUCUAAUUGCAAACCUAUCUCACAUCAUGAUUAGGUUCUGCUUUGCUGGACGCUGUCCUGCCACCUACAGCUAAUGCUGUUUUUACAUCAUCAGUGACGACUUUGUUUCUGCCGACAUGCAGCUGCAGACGCUGCUGCGAAGGACGACAACCCCUCCCUCUCCUGAUCCUCGUUUCCUCUCCUCAUCCUUGUUCCCUCUCUCCAACUCUCUCUAUCCUUUCCUUCCUUUCUUCCUCUCUCCCUGUGCUUUAAACAUUUUCUACCUCGCAGGAACACAGACUCUGGCUGACGAAUGGUUCCACCUGUAGCCAUGGAGUCUGGUUUGGGCCUGACGACAAGCCGUGCCGCCCAAACACUUUUUCCCCACAAUUCAGAUUUCCCAACAGGUGAAAACAGGCGACAGGACCAUCACACCAUUCAACCAGGGGACUGAGCGAUCGUUAAGGAGUUCAGGAGGAAGCACUGGACCUCCAAACGGUGGCGAGGCCCCUUCCAGGUCCUUCUGACGACCAACACGACUGUAAAGAUCGCAGAAAGAGCGACUUGGACCAACUCCAUCCAGGAAGGUCCCGGAUCCAACAGACGACCCUCCAUCUACAUCUACACCACACAAGAAAACCACCACUGACGAAAAGAAUUGAGAAGAACGACCCUCGCUGUGCUCACACACUCACUGAGGCGAGGCUGCGUUGACCGUUCAGCUAAAGGUGUGAGCCAAGCGCCGCCUAAAGCUGCACCGGUGAAUCACACUAUCAGACUAUACAUCUACACACACGUUUCUGAGAAAACACACACACGAGCAGCCUUGAGUUGCCGACGCUGGACGACGUGUAGACUCUUCACAUCACGGGAGUGACAGUGACUCAGACGACAUUGGGAGGAAACCUGGCGGUGAUAACGAACCCCAAGUGUCUCUGUGAUCAGCUGAUCACAACCUGAAGAACCCCAACGAACUGUCAAUACUUCAACACACAGGUUGGAAACAAUCUAACGCUACUGUUCAACAGGAAGAAGCAGAUUGUUACGAGACAUCAAUUGUAAACAUGCUUUGUUAGACUUCAUUUUAUGUUACUUGGAUUAUUGCCUUUAGCAUAUGAUGUUUCUAUGUAACUUUACACACUACUUUUGAAUGAGAAAAUUCACAACAACAACAACACUGAGUUUAAAUAUCCUGAAGUUGACUUGGUGUUUAAUUUGCUCACAAUCACUUUAUUCACUGCUACAAUUAGUUCUAUCCUUCAUCUACAGAUGAAAGACAACAGAAGCGGAAAUAUGCAUCAUCAUUCUGGUUAAAUCCCUGAAUCUCCUAUUCGCUCUAGACGCAAAUGUACAAUUAAAGAUCCGAAAGCAUUAAAUCUAUCUUAAGAAUAUAUGAAACAGAACCCCACCGGAAACGUAUGGCUAUCAUACAUUAAUUGUCUUUAUUACAUUACAAUUGAAUGGCCGUAGACACAUUGUUAGCAGAGAAAAGAGGCGUUUGUGUUAUGUUUGGAGAGGCAUGUUGUACUUACAUCCUGAAUAACACUGAUUCUAAUGGUAUUGUGGCGAAGGCGCUACACGGCCUUCAGAAUCUCAGCUAACUCUGGUAUAGAUUCUUCCUCUUGGAAUUGGCUAGACGAAAUGUCUGGAAAAUGGAAAUCUGUUCUCAUGUCCACAGCUGUUUCCUUUAUAAUUGAGAUGGCUGUGAUUCUCUUGUUUGGUUUUUGCGUUAUCCCACUGGUUAGAGGUCUCAUCAUGCGUGCGACCUCAGCAACACUCUCGUAUGAGAUGACACAAUGCACUAUGUUCAAAAACCCCAACUCUAAUUUACUUAAUGACUUUGACGAUGAUCUUAGGCUAUCUAAUCACAAAAUAUAAUCUGAUACAAAUAUGAUUAUGAGCUUAUUUUCUUCACAUGCCAAUACAGAGGUUAUUCUUGUAUAACUACCCAAAAACAGCUCCCAACCUUUUGUCCCUUAGUUACUUCCAUUUUAUGUGAAGGUGUAUUUUGAAUCUUGAUGAGUUAAUACCCUUAUUGUUUCAUUUGCAAGGAUCUUUUAUUAUUACAGAAUGUGAUGUUAACAAUUUUUCUUCUUAGUGGUUGAUUAAUGUGUAAUCAAAAGGGGGGAGUGUUAUGGCAAAAAUUGUCUCUUCCUUAUUUCUAUGUCUCUUCCUUAUUUCUAUGCAGUUAUUAUACGAGUUAUGACUUAUGUUCUGCAAUUAAUAUCUUAUGUUUUGUCUUACUGUAUGCAUUUGACAUUUCACCUAGAUUGUUCAAUGGUUGUCUCUGCCUGAUAGACUCUCAACUCUAGCUCCCAAACCCAAGGUCGGGGAGUUGUGUCUCUGUCUGUUGAGACUUGGUGCUCCUUUCUCACAGAUAGUUGGACGUCAGCGAUGCAGGUGUGAGAAAGUAAAAAUCUUCACACACACUGCGACAGGGAGGAGAUGGUGCAUGUAAUUUGAUUGGGUUGGAAAGACAUUCCACCCUAGUCGGACAGAGAAGCUAAAAGGCAGAAGCAACUUGAGGAUCGUGGGCUCUUUGCAUCACACCUUCGUGGUGUGUGCACUGAUCUCCCCAGCUGGUUUUUGGUUUGUUGAUGUGCACGAUCAACAUCCAUGCUUUUUAUUUGCUUUCCCCAUUAUUUUUAUUUUCUUUAUUAUUUCAAUAAAUCGCACAAAAGGACAA